ensembl:lncRNA
GUUUAAUUCAUUCAGUAGCAGGUGCUGUAAACAUCAAGGAAAAAACAGCAUCUUCACCAUGUUACAGAGCUUCAAAGCCUAAAUUAGACUGGGUUCCUUUAAAAGCUUUGAAGUCUGUAAUGCAAUGAUUUUUCUUUCUUUAGUUGGUGCAUUAACACAGAUGUAAUAUGCUUACAUGCAGUACUGAUAUGACACGGCUUACUUAAGACAAUAACCUGUUCCCACCAAGUGGAGAUGCUGGACUUUGGUGAGAUUAACGAUGAUACUUUUUAAUAAUGUUGAAUUUGGAAUAGAUAUUUAAUUUAAAUGGUGUAGGUGUGUGUGGAAAAAAUAAGAGGAGCAAAAGAAGGGAACUGAAGGCUUUAGUGGGUUGUUAAUAACAAGCUAACCGGUGCUCUGCCAAAAGUCUAGAUGUACCCAACAAACAGCAAAGCAACGACAAAGCAACGACAAAGCCAACACUGGUCACUACCAAUUAGUACUUCACGCAUCUGGCUGAAGAGUCUCUUUCACUUUGUCUCAGAGCAUUAGCAAGCUUGUAUUUUCACUAUGUACACAAUGUGCAGGGUGGUUGAGUCCAGCAUGUAAGAAGGCAAGUUGUGAUGACCUCAUUGACUGCAGUAAUCACCUGCUAAAAUCUGCCAGCUUUUCUCACUUGAUUUAACUAUUGUGUAUCUGCUACACAGCUUGAAGGGUUUUUUUUUUUUUUUAAUAAUUGCUCAGUCACACUAGAUUAAAAGUAGAAUUGCAACUUCCCUGCAACUGGGGAAAAAAAUAAGUGGUUUCCACUUUUUUUUUGCAUUUGCAAGUAACUGUAGGGACCUCUUUAUUCACAAGGCGAUUGCACAUGUUACCUAGUCAGAGGUAACCCAAUUCCAAACAACUGUGGUUGACUUUGUCUGAGUAUAGUUUGCAGAUAACUGCCAUUAUAAAUGCAGACAGACUGCCAGCACUUCGCCAUGAAUCUGAAUCAGACUCAGUUGGAUGUUUUCUGGUUAUAUUAUUUUACGCUAGGUGACAAAUCGCUGGUAUAUUAUGCUUCCAGGCACCCAACACGUCCCUAUAUUACAAGAUCAGAAAAAUUAGAACCGUUUGGAAUGAAUCUACACAUGUACAUUUAUUUUACUUAAAUCGCUUUGGAAAACACUAUCUAACAUCAUUACAGUGGUGAGGGUUACUGAUAAGGUUAGGGUUAGGGCUGGAAUGUCUAUUACCGCGGGACUGUUGUUCUACUGGAUUUCAUCCACAACCCGGCGCAUAGCAGAGGAAU